UGGGGAAUUUUGGACAAUGGGCGAAAGCCUGAUCCAGCAAUGCCGCGUGUGUGAAGAAGGCCUUCGGGUUGUAAAGCACUUUUGUCCGGAAAGAAAUCCUUGGCUCUAAUACAGUCGGGGGAUGACGGUACCGGAAGAAUAAGCACCGGCUAACUACGUGCCAGCAGCCGCGGUAAUACGUAGGGUGCAAGCGUUAAUCGGAAUUACUGGGCGUAAAGCGUGCGCAGGCGGUUUGCUAAGACCGAUGUGAAAUCCCCGGGCUCAACCUGGGAACUGCAUUGGUGACUGGCAGGCUAGAGUAUGGCAGAGGGGGGUAGAAUUCCACGUGUAGCAGUGAAAUGCGUAGAGAUGUGGAGGAAUACCGAUGGCGAAGGCAGCCCCCUGGGCCAAUACCGACGCUCAUGCACGAAAGCGUGGGGAGCAAACAGGAUUAGAUACCCUGGUAGUCCACGCCCUAAACGAUGUCAACUAGUUGUUGGGGAUUCAUUCCUUAGUAACGUAGCUAACGCGUGAAGUUGACCGCCUGGGGAGUACGGUCGCAAGAUUAAAACUCAAAUGAAUUG
rnacentral:rRNA from 1 species